rnacentral:rRNA from 1 species
CCUACGGGAGGCAGCAGUGAGGAAUAUUGGUCAAUGGUCGGGAGACUGAACCAGCCAAGCCGCGUGAGGGAGGAAGGUACAGAGUAUCGUAAACCUCUUUUGUCAGGGAACAAAGGCGGGGACGUGUCCCCGGAUGAGUGUACCUGAAGAAAAAGCAUCGGCUAACUCCGUGCCAGCAGCCGCGGUAAUCCGGAGGAUGCGAGCGUUAUCCGGAUUUAUUGGGUUUAAAGGGUGCGCAGGCGGUCUGUUAAGUCAGCGGUAAAACCCCGGGGCGAAACCCCGCCCCGCCGUUGAAACUGGCAGUCUCGAGUUGGAGAGAGGUAUGCGGAAUGCGCGGUGUAGCGGUGAAAUGCAUAGAUAUCGCGAAGAACUCCGAUUGCGAAGGCAGCAUGCCGGCUCCACACUGACGCUGAGGCACGAAAGCGUGGGUAUCGAACAGGAUUAGAUACCCCAGUAGUC